rnacentral:rRNA from 1 species
UACGAAGGGGGCUAGCGUUGCUCGGAAUGACUGGGCGUAAAGGGCGCGUAGGCGGUUUGUACAGUCAGGUGUGAAAUUCCCGGGCUCAACCUGGGGGCUGCACUUGAUACGUAUGGACUGGAGUGGGGAAGAGGGUCGUGGAAAUUCCCAGUGUAGAGGUGAAAUUCGUAGAUAUUGGGAAGAACACCGGUGGCGAAGGCGGCGACCUGGUCCUUGACUGACGCUGAGGCGCGAAAGCGUGGGGAGCAAACAGG